CGGGCUAAACGGGGGGCGGGGCCCGCGGGUCGAUGCCCCACCCCCCGUCAGAGCCUGACCGCCGGGGGAAAAGCCUCUGGGCGGAGGAGGUGCUUUCAAAACAAAGAAAUGCGGCGUGGAACCCGGGGGACUGGGGUGGUGAGGAAGGCGGAGGAGGUGCGGCUGAGGCCGUCCGGCCGCCCGCUUCCCCUCCAGUCAGCCCGGAGGAGCUCCCCCCACCCCCAGCCCGGGCUGCGGUGCCGGAGAAGAGGGAGGAGGCUGCGUUAGGCGGCUGUUUUCCAGUUCACUUUUGCAGACCAAGGCGGAGAAGAAGAGCACCAGCUCCGCUGCCCCUCUUGGCUGCGGCGCACUCAGCCCCGAGUCCCGCGUGCGCUCUGUCUCGGAUACCGAGCCGGCCAAAGUGUCCGGAAACGCGCAGAGCGCUCGGAACCUGUCCCGCAGCUGUGCGACGCGCGUCUCGAGCCGGCCGCUGCCGCCCCGCCCUCGCGCUCCUUCAGCCCCACGGGCGGAGAAGCCGGCCCGCCCGCCGGCGCCGAGCUGGGGAACUUGAACUAGCCCCAGCGGCCGCUCUGCCGAGAUCCCGCUCCAGGCCCGGGGGUGCUCCGGCUCGGGGUGGAGGGCACACCGGGGAAGUGGAUUUAGCAAACACACCUUUGAACAGAUCCAGGAGACCAGAAAAACUUACCACCCACAUCUACUCUUCAUAAUCAAGUCAUUGGAUGAAGACAGGCAGGCUCGAGAGAAGAGACAGAAGCCUACAGCACUGCCACCAACUGCCCAGGAUGCAGGGAUUUCAACAGGAAACGGGACCUUUAUGAAUGAAGCACAUUAUUUAUCCCAGUGUGGAGUAAGAAGAGAGAAAAUGAGCUGCAGUUGCUGGAGAAGGGGACUGAGGUUCACCUUAGGAAGAACAUCCUGUCAAUAACAUCGAAGCUCUGGAGAAUCUCAUGAAAGGAGCUUCAGGGUUUUGGUCAACAUUCAUUCUACCAACAUUUACUGAGGACAUUCUGGGCAUUUCUUGGUUUGUGUCUAAUUCAGUCACAGAGCUAAAUCGGGAAGAUUUCACUCAAAUGCUUCUCUGGAGGGUUUCCCUAACUUGAAGUAUUGCUAUCUCUUUUUUUCCCAACUUUUCUUCUUAUUCUCUGCCACCUAUGAAGGUUCACAGGGCCCAGUCCUGGACCCUGCAAAAAAAAAAAAAAGCUUUAAAAAUCAAGAAUUAUUCUUGGGGCUUCCCUGGUGGCGCAGUGGUUGAGAGUCUGCCUGCCAAUGCAGGGGACACGGGUUCGAGCGCUGGUCUGGGAAGAUCCCACAUGCCGUAGAGCAACUGGGCCCGUGAGCCACAACUACUGAGCCUGCGCGUCUGGAGCCUGUGCUCCGCAACAAGAGAGGCCGCGACAGUGAGAGGCCCGCGCACCGCGAUGAAGAGUGGCCCCUGCUCGCCACAACUGGAGAAAGCCCUCGCACAGAAAUGAAGACCCAACACAGCCAAAAAUAAAUAAAUAAAUUAAUUAAUUAAUUAUUAAAAAAAUCAAGAAUUAUUCUAAAAGAAAAUCUGACCCACUGCACCAGUCAAGAUGUCAGCCUCUUGAUCAAACAGCCACUCAUAAGGCAAUGGCAUGCUGAGAAAAGCAGACGGUAAUGGUAGCCAGUUCAGAGCUGUGAGGACUUGCUGUGAACUGGUUUAUAUUACCUACCUCCUUUUACUCAACAGAAACUUUCUUCUCUACAGAAAAUGGCAAUACCACUACCAUUCUAGGGUUCCUUGUAUUAGGCCUCACCUAACAACUGCUUGGCUUUCUAUCCAGAAUAGUUAAAACAGCCAGUGCCCCAGGGAAUGUCAUAAAAUUUCACUGUAUUCAAUGACGCCCUAUUCAGUGAAUCGCAGAGAACCUAGUCUUCUUCUGCACACCUGGCUAUGAAUCACUGACUCAGUGACCUCCAUUUGGGAUCUGCUUUCCUGAGGUAGUUAAUUUAGCCUUCAUGAGAUGGAGGUACUGAACCUUUCUUAGGGAGGCAUGCCUAAUUUCACAUAACUGUGAAGUUACUUCGGUUGUUUACAUGGCAAUCUUGUGUGAUCUAAGCAACUCUAUUGCUGUCAUUUUAAGACCGUUUGAAACAUCUUAAUAGUCCCAUUUUUUUCUUUUCCUCUUGCUCAUUUCCAAAUGGAAGGAAUUCUUAUGAGGUAAUAGGGUGGUGGGGAGAAACACAGUUUGCUUUAGCUCCUACUAAUU